rnacentral:snRNA from 1 species
UUAUAUUAUAUAUGUAAACAACA